ACAGAUUUUGCUAGGCAAUUUUUUGACAUAGGGCAUUCACUUGGUUUUUGGCAAUUGCACUUUUUUGUCGGGGGUUUUAGCUCGGUGGGAUAGCUUGGAUUUGUUAUAAGAAAAGUAACAAGUGAAUGCCCUAUGUCAAAAAUUUGCCUAGCAAAAUCUGU